GACGAACGCUGGCGGCGUGCUUAACACAUGCAAGUCGAACGGAAAGGCCCUGCUUUUGUGGGGUGCUCGAGUGGCGAACGGGUGAGUAACACGUGAGUAACCUGCCCUUGACUUUGGGAUAACUUCAGGAAACUGGGGCUAAUACCGGAUAGGAGCUCCUGCUGCAUGGUGGGGGUUGGAAAGUUUCGGCGGUUGGGGAUGGACUCGCGGCUUAUCAGCUUGUUGGUGGGGUAGUGGCUUACCAAGGCUUUGACGGGUAGCCGGCCUGAGAGGGUGACCGGCGACAUUGGGACUGAGAUACGGCCCAGACUCCUACGGGAGGCAGCAGUGGGGAAUAUGGCACAAUGGGCGGAAGCCUGAGGCAGCAACGCCGCGUGCGGGAUGACGGCCUUCGGGUUGUAAACCGCUUUCGCCUGUGACGAAGCGGGAGUGACGGUAAUGGGUAAAGAAGCACCGGCUAACUACGUG
rnacentral:rRNA from 1 species